UACGUAGGGUGCGAGCGUUGUCCGGAAUUAUUGGGCGUAAAGAGCUUGUAGGUGGUUUGUCGCGUCUGCUGUGAAAAUCCGGGGCUCAACCCCGGACUUGCAGUGGGUACGGGGCAGACUAGAGUGUGGUAGGGGGAGACUGGAAUUCCUGGGUGUAGCGGUGGAAUGCGCAGAUAUCAGGAGGAACACCGAUGGCGAAGGCAGGUCUCUGGGCCAUUACUGACACUGAGAAGCGAAAGCAUGGGGAGCGAACAGG
rnacentral:rRNA from 1 species